ensembl:ncRNA F20A1.13 ncRNA
UGGCAACAAUUCGAGCUAGCAGCUUGACACUCUACGCAAGAAGUCAAAACACUUGAAAUACUUGGGGAGCCUGAUUGCCUUGUUGCGAAAACGAGAGAAAACCUAUGAGAUGCGUAGUACUGUUGACAUGUUUGUUCUUUCUAAAUUAGGGCUCCGCGCACUUUGACGUAAUAUUAGGUGAUGCUAACAGUGCAGAGAGCAGAUAAAAAAGUG